CCUCCUGUCUUGGCAUGCGAUCGUUUACCCCAUAGCGAUUCAUGAGUGCUUCCAGGAGGUAAAUUAAAGUAGAGGAUAUUAUGCCUUCGGUGUCUAUUGCUUUUGCGACGAUAGAUUCCAUCCUCAAAAUAUCUUACAAAA
rnacentral:snoRNA from 1 species